rnacentral:rRNA from 1 species
AGGGUUCGAUUAUGGCUCAGGAUGAACGCUAGCGACAGGCCUAACACAUGCAAGUCGAGGGGCAGCGGAGAGGUAGCAAUACCUUUGCCGGCGACCGGCGCACGGGUGAGUAACACGUAUGCAAUCCACCUGUAACAGGGGGAUAACCCGGAGAAAUCCGGACUAAUACCCCAUAAUAUGGGCUCUCCGCAUGGAGGGUCCAUUAAAGAGAGCAAUUUUGGUUACAGACGAGCAUGCGCUCCAUUAGCCAGUUGGCGGGGUAACGGCCCACCAAAGCGACGAUGGAUAGGGGUUCUGAGAGGAAGGUCCCCCACAUUGGAACUGAGACACGGUCCAA